rnacentral:rRNA from 1 species
GACGAACGCUGGCGGCGUGCUUAACACAUGCAAGUCGAACGGAAAGGCCCUGCUUUUGUGGGGUGCUCGAGUGGCGAACGGGUGAGUAACACGUGAGUAACCUGCCCUUGACUUUGGGAUAACUUCAGGAAACUGGGGCUAAUACCGGAUAGGAGCUCCUGCUGCAUGGUGGGGGUUGGAAAGUUUCGGCGGUUGGGGAUGGACUCGCGGCUUAUCAGCUUGUUGGUGGGGUAGUGGAUUACCAAGGCUUUGACGGGUAGCCGGCCUGAGAGGGUGACCGGCCACAUUGGGACUGAGAUACGGCCCAGACUCCUACGGGAGGCAGCAGUGGGGAAUAUUGCACAAUGGGCGGAAGCCUGAUGCAGCCACGCCGCGUGCGGGAUGACGGCCUUCGGGUUGUAAACCGCUUUCGCCUGUGACGAAGCGUGAGUGACGGUAAUGGGUAAAGAAGCACCGGCUAACUACGUG